rfam:Schistosoma curassoni strain Dakar, Senegal genome assembly, scaffold: SCTD_contig0004700
AUCCAGCUGACAAGUCACAAAUAGGAUGAAACGCGUGUCCUAGAU